rnacentral:rRNA from 1 species
AUACGUAGGGGGCGAGCGUUGUCCGGAAUUAUUGGGUGUAAAGGGCGCGUAGGCGGCCCGGUAAGUCUGGAGUGAAAGUCCUGUUUUUAAGAUGGGAAUUGCUUUGGAUACUGUCGGGCUUGAGUGCAGGAGAGGUAAGUGGAAUUCCCAGUGUAGCGGUGAAAUGCGUAGAGAUUGGGAGGAACACCAGUGGCGAAGGCGACUUACUGGACUGUAACUGACGCUGAGGCGCGAAAGUGUGGGGAGCAAACAGGAUUAGAUACCCUGGUAGUCCACACUGUAAACGAUGAAUGCUAGGUGUAGGGGGUAUCGACCCCUUCUGUGCCGCAGUCAACACAAUAAGCAUUCCGCCUGGGGAGUACGGCCGCAAGGUUGAAACUCAAAUGAAUUGACGGGG